rnacentral:rRNA from 1 species
CCUACGGGAGGCAGCAGUGGGGAAUCUUGGACAAUGGGCGAAAGCCUGAUCCAGCGACGCCGCGUGGGUGACGAAGGCCUUCGGGUCGUAAAGCCCUGUCAGUCGGGACGAAUAUCCGUCCGUUAAUAGCGGUCGGAUUGACGGUACCGACAGAGGAAGCCCCGGCUAACUCUGUGCCAGCAGCCGCGGUAAU